rnacentral:rRNA from 1 species
AACGAACGCUGGCGGCAUGCCUAACACAUGCAAGUCGAACGGUGUUCCCGCUUCGGCGGGGGCAUAGUGGCGCACGGGUGAGUAACGCGUGGGAACCUGCCCCGUGGUACGGAGCAACUCCGGGAAACUGGAGCUAAUACCGUAUGUGUCCCCUGGGACAAAGAUUGCAUCGCCAUGGGAGGGGCCCGCGUAGGAUUAGGUAGUUGGCGGGGUAACGGCCCACCAAGCCCGCGAUCCUUAGCUGGUCUGAGAGGAUGAUCAGCCACACUGGGACUGAGACACGGCCCAGACUCCUACGGGAGGCAGCAGUGGGGAAUAUUGGACGAUGGGCGCAAGCCUGAUCCAGCAAUGCCGCGUGAGUGAUGAAGGCCUUCGGGUUGUAAAGCUCUUUCGCACGCGACGAUGAUGACGGUAGCGUGAGAAGAAGCCCCGGCUAACUUCGUGCCAGCCGCCGCCGUAA